GGGCUGCGCGGCCGCGCCGCAGAAGGUGAAGGAACAGCGCGAGGCACGCAGCCGCCGCACCGUGGCGCGCACGAGCUCAGCCGGCCGGCGACCCCAGCGCGCCCACAGGACAGUGGCAGCCGGAAAGUGGGUUCCUGCAUGGUAACAAGACCUUAAAAUUGUGUCACUGGAGAAGGACGUGCAGUUCCCGCUGAGGAGAGACUUGGCCACUCCAGGACAACACAGGACUACAAGUCAGGAAUUUGAAGAUGAAAAGUGCUCAACAGUGAUAAAUCCUAAAUGUUUCACUGAACAACCUUUCAGAUAGCCUUCUUGAAGUUUGCUGAAUUAUGGCUAUAAGGACCACUCCCCACCCCUGCUUGGUAUGGAGAGGUCAUCUCCUCUAUCUGAAGGUGACCAACAUCUCCAGUUUUUCCAAAUUCCCUAAGGGUUUUGAGACCACACCUUCCCACAGGUACUGUAACUCCACCUGGCCAAUAGGAAUUUUCCAGGUUUACCCUUAGGUGUUUCGAGAUAUGGUCUCAGAAUACAUCAUGGGAAAAUUACAUUUUGGGGUCAAUCCUGUAUACCAAUUCUAGGUUAAAAGCAUGGGGACCACCAUGGUUCAACAUGAGCUGACCCUUGCAUUGAAGAGUACUGAUACCAUUCAUGCCUGGGGAAGGAAUAGAGGGAGGAAGAUAUGAAGGGCACAGUGAGAAGUGAAACAGUCACAUAACAAGCUCUGUUUAUGAUCCCGCCCUAAAAUGAUUUCAUUUUGCAAAGGUCAAGGAUAGAGUUGAGUUUCAUCACCCCUAUAUAACAAAGGAAUAGGGGAAGGAUGCAAAAAUAAUACACCAAGGGAUAUUAAUGUGUAUGCACCUGAUCCUCAUCCUGUAGUCCCUCACUGCUCAAAGUGUGGUCCUCAGAGCAGCAGCAGCAGCAUCACUUGGAAGCUCGCAAGAAAAGUGGAAUCCUAGGCCCCACCCAACCCCAAAUCAGCGUCUGCAUUUUGACAAAAUCCCGGGAGACUCACAAACACAUUAAAGUUAGAGAAGCACUGCUAACAUCUUCCUCUGUCAUUCCCUGGGUCUGGGCUACUCUAGACUCUAAUAAGACAUUUCCAAAAUGAUGUGGAAAAUAAGACCACAGACUAGGGAUUUUUUUUUUUUUUUUAGAUGAAGUCUCACUUGCCCAGGUUGGAGUGCAGCGCGAUCUCAGCUCACUGCAACGUCCGCCUCCCGAGUUCAAGUGAUUCUCCUGCCUCAGCCUCCCGAGUAGCUGGGAUUACAAGCACAUGCCACCACACCUGGCUAAUUUGUGUAUUUUUAGUAGAGAUGGGGUUUCACCAUGUUGGCCAGGCUGGUCUCAAACUCCUAACCUCAGGUGAUCAUCCCACCUCAGCCUCCCAACGUGCUGGGAUUACAGGCGUGAGCCACCGUGCCCAGUCAGACUAGGGAUUUAGAAGCAAGACUUUGUCAUUUAUAAGAACACUGCAGAAAGGAACAAGAAUGACCCAGCUAGCCACUGAAGACCACCUCUGAAACCCAUCAACAUGACCGGCUUUCUAUAGGAAAAGUCUCCACAGACUCAAAAAGUCUCUAGUUUCUUGCCCUUAGGAAGGCAUGCCCUGGGAAUAAUAGUUUGGGGACAAGAGAGAGUAGAGUGUUUACUGUCCUAUCCCCCAUUAAAUACAUGGCAGAACUUCCCCAGGGAAAGCCUAUCAUACUGACAUUAACUCAGUACCUGUUUGAACUUGGAGAGCAUUCAGAAUUCUCAUCAGUCAAAUGGCCAGAGCUGAGAAGGAUAGCUUGUUUUGUUUGUUUUUGAGACAGGGUCUUGCUAUGUCACCCAGGCUGGAGGGCAGUGGUGCAAUCCCGACUCACUGCAGCCUCGACCUCGUGGGCUCAAGCAAUCCUCCCUCCUCAGUUUCCCAAAGUGUUGGGAUUACAGGCAUGAGCCACCACACCUGGCUAAUUUUUGUAUUUUUUGUAGAGACAAGGUUUUACCCUGUUGCCCAGGCUGGUUUCCAACUCCUGAGCUCAAGCCAUCUGCCCACCUUAGCCUCCCAAAGUUGUGGGAUUACAGGCACAUGCCACCACACCUGGCUAAUUUUUAUAUUUUUUUGUAGAGACAGGAUUUUGCCAUGUUGCCCAGGCUUGUCUCGAACUCCUGGAUUCAAGCAAUCUACCCGCCUUAGCCUCCCAAAGUACCGGGAUUACAAGCGUGAGCCACCGUGCCCGGCCUGGGAUACUUUCUAAGAACCAAGGAACUAUGUAGAAAAUCUUCGCCGGGCACAGUGGCUCACGCCUAUAAUCCCAGCACUUUGGGAGGCCAAGAUGGGCAGAUCACGAGGUCAGGAGAUCGAGACCAUCCUGGCUAACACAGUGAAACCCCGUCUCUACUAAAAAAUACAAAAAAGUUAGCCAGGCGUGGUGGCAGGCGCCUGUAAUCCCAGCUACUGAGGAGGCUGAGGCAGGAGAAUGGCGUGAACCCAGGAGGCGGAGCUUGCAGUGAGCCAAGAUUGCACCACUGCACUCCAGCCUGGGCGACAGAGCAAGACUCCAUCUCAAAAAAAAAAAAAAAGAAAAGAAAAUCUUGAUCUCUAUUCAGUAACUUUAAUACGUAUAUUAAUAUGUUCUUGUUUUUGGAACAAUCGUCAAAUCAAGCAAAAAGUAAUUUUAUUUUGUUAAUCAAAAUAAAGAGAAAAGUAGACAAUAUUUAGAGCAUCAAAAGAAUUUAAAUUAGAACAUCUUGAACUAUUGGAAAUAUGCAUUUGAACUCAUGUCUUUAAGAGGAAAAUAAUUAUCUUUCCUAGCUCUUUCACUGAGAUGGCCUCAGAGUAGCCUUACCCCAAAAUGCACCUGAGUGCUCAGAUUCUUGAAUGGGUGCUCUUCUCCUCAUUACAAGGAACUAGAAAUCCUUGGAGAAAUCACUGAUUCUGGUGUUCAAGAGAUACCAGAUAAGCUGGAACGUCUUAUGCUAGGAAGCAGGAGAAGCUUCAAAGAAAAAUAGGUCCAGGCAGAAGGAUGCAGGAGACAAGCUAGAAGUGCCAAAUCAGGACGAUUUGAGUAUCAAAUUGAAAUACACCCAAUUAUGAAGGUACCCAAUUUUCAAGAGCCGGCUGGGCGCAGUGGCUCACACCUGUAAUCCUACCACUCUGGGAGACUGAGGCGGGCAGAUCACCUGAAAUCAAGAGUUCAAGACCAGCCUGGGCAACAUGGCGAAACCCCAUCUCUACUAAAAAUACAAAACUUAGCCAGGCGCAGUGGCAUACACCUGCAGUCCCACCUACUCGGGAGGCUGAGCCAGGAGAAUCACUUGAACCCAGGAGACAGAGGUUGCAGUGAGCCGAGAUUGCACCACUGCACUCAAGCCUGGGUGACAGAAAAAGACUCCAUCUCAAAAAAAAAAAAAAAAAUGAAGAGCCAUGAAAUCCAUGGUCAUCCUCAAUAAAAUUUAAAUAUUCGAAAAGAAUGUAGGAUAAAAUGUGUUACUGCUGAGUCUCGUUAUUUGGUUAUGUUUGUAUUGAUUCAUUUGUUGUAUUGAUAAAGAUUAGUAGGUGGCAAAUUCUUCCUUUAGAAGGUUGUUUGUGACCCAAGAGGGCAUCAAUACAAAGACCCUAAAGCUGGGAUUCCGAAGCACAGAGUCGCGGGAGAGAACCAAAGCUCAUCGCAUCUGGUUUAAGACUCCUUCAGAGUUGGAUCAGCCUAAAAACAGGACAUGGUACAAGAUUUUAUUCAUUCCAAAGAUUGUAAAAAUUAAAUUCAUCCUGAGAAUUUAUCAGUCUAUGUGGGAGCUACAGACUUCUAUGAGCAAGCAGAGUACCUGGCAUUCCUGACCAUGCUAUUUCUACCAAUCAACAAAAACUACUAGAUACUCAGAGGGGAUUUAAUACAGAGAGUUGGCUACAACAUGACAAAACACCAGACAAGGGAGGGCACUGUGGCUCAUGCCUGUAAUCCCGGCACUUCGGGAGGCCAAGGCGGGUGGAUCACCUGAGGUCAGGAGUUUGAGAUCAGCUGGCCAACAUGGUGAAACCCCGUCUCUACUAAAAAUACAAAAAAUUAGCCGGGCAUGGUGGCAGGCACCUGUAAUCCCAGCUACUUGGGAGGCUGAGGCAGGAGAAUCGCUUGAACCUGGGAGGCGGAGGUUGCAGUGAGCCAAGAUCAUGCCCUUGCACUCCAGCCUGGGCAACAAGAGUGAAACUCCGUCUGAAAUAAAUAAAUAAAUAAAUAAAUAAACAAACGGACACACACCACAGAAGGGACAGUGAGGCAACCCAGGGAAUAGAAACAGCAGAAGCCACGACCCUCUGUAGGGCUGAGGGCACACAGCACAGGUCAAGUUACCGUCGCCCGGGAUCCAGGGUCCCCUGGUGGAAGCUGGAACCCACAGAUCAGUGCUGUGGAAGAUGGAGCCACAGAGAAACAACUGCUGCUGGAGACAUCAGAAGGGGAAGAAGGUGGAAAAAUACUGUAGCCGCUCCACACCUCCAGCCCAACGCCCCAUGGCGGAACUUCACUAGAGGCCCCACGGCAGAAGAGCCUCCAGGAACCUCCUUGUGGACCAGAGGAGAGAGAUAGAGAGGCGGCAGGAGGCAAGGGUGUGUCUAAGAACAAACAGGCCACGGCCAGCCCCUGGCCUUCCUGAAACUCCUCCCUUGGGUUCUUUUAAAAUUCAAUAUUCUGCUUCUGUUCCAGGGUUAAUGGGCUGAACUGUGUCCCCCCAAAUUCUAAUGUUGAAGUUCUAACCCCCAGUACCUCAGAAUGGGACUGCAUCAGGAGACAGGUACUUUAAAAUAGUCAUUAAGGUAAAAUGAGGUCACCACCUAAUCUGUUAUGACUGGUAUCCUUAUAAGGAGAGGAGACUAGACACAGACAUGCACAGGGGGACAAUCCUGUAAGGACAAAGGGAGAAGACAGCCAUCUCCAAGCUAAGGAGAGAGGCCUCAGGAGAAACCAACCCUGCCCACACCUUCAUCUUGGACUUCUAGCUUCCAGAACUGGGGAAAUGAAUUUCUGUUGUUGAAGCCCCAGUCUGCAAUACUUAGUUAUAGCAGCCCUUGCGAACCAGCACAUGCAAGUUCUCCGUCUCUGUCUCUAACCCCUCUCUCAACUGUCGGCCAUAAGUGAGCCUCUGCCCCCAACUUCUGGCCUCCUCUAUGUUCUCUUCCUUGGCAACCUCUGGCAGUGACGCUCAGUCCUCAUGGCCAGCUCUGGCCUCUCCCAGGCUCUGGCGCCGCAAUCAUCUCUUCCACUUGUCUCUGCUUGGAUAGUCUGUCAGCAUCUCAAAGGCAACAUGAAUAAAACCAAAUGCAUUUUUUCCUCCCACAAAUUAUCUCUUUAUCCUGAUUUCUCUUAUCUCUGUUCAUGACUUGUUCACCUUUUCACUAGGACCCAGAAUUCAUGCAUCUUGGAGUCCCAACUUCUCCAGCCCCUGUGUCUUGUUUAUUUCCAUAGCAGUUGGUAGGCGGGACCUCCGCACAGUCUCACAUGGUCCCUUCUUUCUAGUCCAGGCCCAGCUCAGCCCUCACCAGAACAGGCACUAGCACGACAGCCUGCUGGAUGAUUCCCGGUGCCCGUCCCCUGUUUCCCACGGUUCUGCCUCAUCCAGCACACUCUGCACUUGACUGCCUAAAGCACAGCGCUGAUCCCAUCACUCCUGCUUCUCAAACUCCUGCAGUGCCUGCCCCCACCCCAGAAAGUGCAGGCAGUCUUGCCUGGCAUUCAAGACCUUCCACUGAGCCUAAGCAACAUAGUGAGACCCCAUCUCUACAAAAAAUUUAAAAAUUAGCCAGGCAUGGUGGCACGUGCCUAUAGCCCCAGCUACUUGGGAGGCUGAGGCGGGAGAACUGCUGGAGCCCAGGAGUUCCAGGAUGUAGUGAUCCAUGUUCAUACCACUGCACUCCAGCCUGGGCAACAGAAGAGACCCCAUCUCUAAAAAGAAAAGAAAAAGACCUUCCAUUGGACCCACCUAACCGGGUCUCCCUCCUUGGCAGCCAUUCACUUAUUCCACAUUCAUUCUGCACCUCCUGCACACGAGGUGCUAUGCCAAUUACUGGAUACAUUUAAUCCCUCAACAACUCUGCAUGGUGACCAUUAUUGUCCCCAUCUUGCAAAGGAAGAAACUGAAUUUUAGAACAGUUGAAUUUUAGAACUUGAGCUCCCAUAAUUAGGUGGGGAAACUGAUGUUUGAAUUUGUGUCCUUUUGGCCCCAAAGUCCUUCUCUGGAUAAACUAGGCAACCAAGAGCAAAGAAUGCUCUAUACCCGACAAAAAUAGAAAUGAAACUCAAGAUCCAAGACGCAAGAGUGGCAGAAGGUUCAAGGUGCACCACUGCCAGCCCUGACAGCCUUUGUAUCCAGGUCAGUCGAACAGGCCAGGAUUGUCCCCAACUUGGACACAUCUAAAAAGCUGCAGGUGGGAUGUCAUCAAAAUCACCUGGGAAAACAACCUGCUCUGAAAACAGAGGCAUGAUCCAAAAGACAAAGAGGUUUGUGAUACCCUUUCUGUACAAUAGCUGACUAUCAGUAAGUCAUUACUGUUUUAAGGAAGUCAGUCACACACACACACACACGCAUACACACACAGAAAAAUACAAAAGUUAGCUGGGCGUGGUGGUGUGCACCUGCAAUCCCAGCUACUCGGGAGGCUGAGGCAGCAGAAUCAUUUGAACCCGGGAGGCAGAGGUUGCAGUGAUCCAAGAUUGCAUCACUGCACUCCAGCCUGGGCAACAGAGCCAGACUGUCUCAAAAAAUAAAUAACAAUAAUAAUAAUAAUGUUGCACCAAUGUCAGUUUUGGUAAAUCCAUGGUUGUGUAAGAUGUUAGCAUUAGAGGAAGCUGGGUGAAGUUUCAAAGAACUCUCUGUACUAUUUCUCUUUUGUAAGCCUAAAAUUAUUUCAAAAUAAUAGGUGAUAAAAAUUAGAAGGUGACAUUCCACUGAAUUUCAUCAGCACUCCUUUUUUCCCCUCUUCCGAACCAGCCAUGUGAUCUUAAGCAAAUUAUUUCAUCUCUCUAGGUCACAGUUUUUCAACUUAGGAAAAAAAAGAGGGACACAAGCCAGAUCAUCUCUAACUUCCCCUCAAUCUCUCAAAUUCUGUGGUCCUCAUACAUUUACAAUAUGAUGCAAUCUACAAACAUUUGAUAUUGGUGCUCCCUUAUUCACCUUCAUAUCCCUGGUAUUUAGCAUUGUGCCUAUACAUAGUAGGUGCUCACUGAAAGUUUUUGCAACUACCUCAAAAACUGAGGUUCAUACCUCAGUUUGUAAAGUGACGUAGAACUGCUAGCUCUUUUACCUAGUUGACCACUAGAGAGCGAAGCGGUCACAAAUUUUUUCUCUGUUAAAAGCAAAUUUAUCUUCGUCCAGCAGAGGGGAGUGGUCCUUUAUAUUUCAGGCAUGUAAAAAUCAGGUCCUGGUUGGGCGAAGGGAGACAUCUGUGAGCAGUUUCCUGCCUAUCAGACAGGCCCUCCAGAGGGGUGAUCAGUACCAUAAGCUUCCAGGUAAGCACAUGGGGCCACUGCCCCCACCCUCCAAAACACCCUCAAAAGUCUAAACCACCUCAAUGGAUGGGAGAUUGCUCUGCAAAUGGGGGAGCCCCACUCCUAAUAUGUUCAUCAUUGUCUUCCUAACAACUGUGACUCAUUUCUUGAACAAAUGUUUCACUUUUAAAGGGUUUGCACAGAGGCAGCUUUAAGAGGUCAAAUAAAUGAAUGUGGAAGGAAAUUAAAACUUUUACAACCACAUGAAAAAGGCAUUAGCCAGUCAUCCUGCCCAGCAGCCCAAUAUUGAGCCUGUGUGAGUUGCCAUUUGUGUAGUGAAGCAAUAGAGGCCAUGGUCUGGAAUCAGAAACCCUGGGUUCAGAUACUGCCUCUGACCCCCCAACUCCCCAACAAAAUGCACACAUUCAGUGGUCAUGUGACCAGGGCAAAUGCCUCUCGUUCCACAGCUCCAAUGCAGGAAUAAUAAUAGCAUCCACCUUGUGUGGGUGGGCGGGUUCACAGAGAACAGCCACACAGGGCUAAGAGUGCAGACUAUUGUGACCCAGCAACUGCCCACUUGGACAGAGUGAACAGGAAGGGAAUAGAAGGGCAAGGCGCUUUCACUUCAUCCUCAUGAGCGCUCUUCGUGGGGAAACUAUUACACAAAGUCGGGGUGGGGAGUUCCUUCCCAGUAAAUCGAGUUGCCUUUUUCAGGCACAGAAAAGCCCAUCUGCCUGAAUUUUCCUCAACUGGUCAAUCAUGGUGCCAGAAGUCCCAACCACUUGAAGUGCUCCUUCAGGUUAAGUUACUUUAUCUGCCAACUGUGUCACUUUAAACAAGUCAGUUUCCAAGUCCUACGCUGCUGCUUUUAUCAUCCCAUUAAUUUAUAAAACUAAGAAUAGGGGCCAAACGCGGUGGCUCAU